UACAGAGGGUGCGAGCGUUAAUCGGAAUUACUGGGCGUAAAGCGCGCGUAGGCGGCUUUGCAAGUCGGGUGUGAAAUCCCCAGGCUUAACCUGGGAACUGCAUUCGAGACUGCAUUGCUAGAGUAUGGGAGAGGGAAGUGGAAUUUCCGGUGUAGCGGUGAAAUGCGUAGAUAUCGGAAGGAACAUCAGUGCGAAGCGACUCCUGGA
rnacentral:rRNA from 1 species